UAUUAUUAUAUUAUAUAUUUUUUCAACUUGGUCAAUUAAUGUCUCAAGAAAAAAAACUUAGUCAAUUAAUGAAUUUUUAUUGGGGAAAUAUAAUUUUAUUACAGAGGAAACAAAAAACUAUUAGCAAAUCUAUUAAAUAUAAAACAAAAUUACCUCUUGUCUUGAAAGUUCUCUCUAAAGGAGGCUUCCACCUUCCGUCAUCUCUCGAGUUUCACUAAACAUAGUCCUUUCAGGGCAAGGGGAAGGCGUUUCUUCAGUUUGGUUUUGGGUCUCCUCCCUUUUCAGAUUUGGAUCGCAAUAGUGGACCAUCCUCCCCAUCAGCAGAAUUUUAGACUGCGUUGUAAUGUUUAGCAGUACUACUAUUUUGAUGUAAUAGCUUAUGGAUAACUAAUAUAUAGACAUUACAACACCAUAAAGCCUAUUUUAGAUCAUGAUUAAAGCCCAACUUUUUCUUUUUUGUUGAUAUUGACUCUUUGCCACAAAUGAAUAGAUAUGCUAUGAUCUUUUACGCAAUGUCCAUCAUUUUUACAUUUCAGCGUGCAUUAUCUACAUUUGAUAUUAAGGACAAUGUCAAGAAUGUAUUUGGGGUGUG
rnacentral:misc_RNA from 1 species